rnacentral:rRNA from 1 species
CCCUUAGAUGUUCUGAACCGCACGCGUGUUACACUGAUGCAUUCAACGAGCUUUACCUUGGCCGAGAGGCCUGGGAAAUCUUUUUAGCAUGCAUCGUGAUAGGGAUUGAUUAUUGCAAUUAUUAAUCUUGAACGAGGAAUUCCUAGUAAACGCAAAUCAUCAAUUUGCAUUGAUUACGUCCCUGCACUUUGUACACACCGCCCGUCGCACCUACCGAUUGAAUGGUCCGGUGAGGACUCGGGAUUUUUACCAGUUUCCUUCAUUGGGAAUUGGUGAGGAGAACUUGUCCAAACCUUAUCAUUUAGAGGAAGGUGAAGUCGUAACA